UACGUAGGUGACAAGCGUUGUCCGGAUUUAUUGGGCGUAAAAGGCUUGUAGGUGGCCACGCCAAGUCGGAUGUGAAAUCUCCCGGCUCAACUGGGAGGGGUCAUUCGAUACUGGCGGGCUCGAGGCCGGUAGGGGGAAGUGGAAUUCCCGGUGUAGUGGUGGAAUGCGUAGAUAUCGGGAGGAACACCAGUGGCGAAGGCGGCUUCCUGGACCGGUUCUGACACUGAGGAGCGAAAGCGUGGGGAGCGAUCCGG
rnacentral:rRNA from 1 species